rnacentral:rRNA from 1 species
GGAGUCUGGACCGUGUCUCAGUUCCAAUGUGGCCGUUCAUCCUCUCAGACCGGCUACUGAUCGUCGCCUUGGUAGGCCGUUACCCCACCAACCAGCUAAUCAGACGCAGACCCAUCGCAAAGCGAUAGCUUACAAGUAGAGGCCAUCUUUAAUAUCUCUCCCAUGCAGAAAAGAUACAACAUUCGGUAUUAGCACCCCUUUCGGGAUGUUGUCCCCAUCUUUGCGGCAGGUUGUCUACGCGUUACUCACCCGUUUGCCACUCGACUCAUCUAAGCAAGCUUAAAAUCGUCUCGUUCGACUUGCAUGUGUUAAGCACGCCGCCAGCGUGUCCUCGAGCCACGGAUCAUACUCU